GUUUUGGUGGUCAGAUAGAUGCACCAAAUGAAACAGUUCUACUGGAGAUUUGAUUAGUUUCUGAGCUGGGAAUGCCCGCACUUACUAUGUGUAGUGAUUCACUUUACAAGGUGGAUACGAAUUUGUGGCCUCACUAAUUUGGAGGUUUGUACAGCUUAGUGGUUUUCGUUGUUUCCCUUUAUGGCAUGAUGUGGGAUGAAAAUCAUAAGAUCAAUGUUCAAAUUCCAGCAAAGAGCAAAAGGCGGUAGUCGAUACACGAUACACGGAUGUAUUUAGAAACAUACCGACAAUUUCAAGUUUGUGGAGAAGUAGAGAGGAAAAGGACAAUACUUAUGCAGCAAUGUGAAGAAGUCCAUUAAGUCUCAAAGACUUUAAAGACUAUGGGGUAUGGGCAACGAACCUUUUUGCAGGUAUGGUAGGAAUUUAAUAAAGCAUGUUCUGGGUUGGAUUUGUUUUCUUACCUUUCAAGCAUAAAUAUGAUUGAUAUAUUUUAAUAUUAUAUUAUUAAAUUAAUUAUAUUUUCCAUUAUAUAGAA